GAUGAACGCUGGCGGCGUGCCUAAUACAUGCAAGUCGAGCGGUAAGGCUCCUACAGGUUAUUCGAUCACGACAGCUUCGGUUGUCGCAGCAAACCCAAUCAACCCCGGCUAGGGAAGAGAGGGCGAGGGAAGAUCGAAUGGCGUGUUGGAGUACACGAGCGGCGGACGGCUGAGUAACACGUAGGAACGUACCCCAAAGUGAGGGAUAAGCACCAGAAAUGGUGUCUAAUACCGCAUGUGCUCUUCGGAGGAAAGCUUCGGCGCUUUGGGAACGGCCUGCGCAUGAUUAGCUUGUUGGUGAGGUAAUAGCUCACCAAGGCGACGAUCAUUAGCUGGUCUGAGAGGAUGAUCAGCCAGACUGGGAC
rnacentral:rRNA from 1 species